rnacentral:misc_RNA from 1 species
UGAAAUUUCAAAUGAUAUCUAAACACUUUAACUCAUUCCGAUUAUGUCUCGUUCAUCCUCGAUACUAACGUGUUUAUGAUGGUAUCCGGAUAAUCAUGUUAUAAGUUAGAGUGUUCAACUGAAUAGAGAAGAAAACGAGUUAUAGUGUUUAAACGUACGUGACUCGCGUGCUUACUCGUCGGCUUUCAAGGUGAAGAACCCCAUAGAACCUCAGCAACAAUGGUGGCAGCUUCAGCAUCAGUAUCACAAGCGUCUCUAAUCUUCUUCAAUAUCUCCUGUUUAAAUCCCCUUUUUUCUCUCUGUCUUAAUCCUUCUCCUACUUCCAAUUGCACUGUAAAUCUUGCUACACAGCUCGCAAAUGGAUGUUUCUCCAAAAAUCUCUUCUCUUUGUUUCCCCUUUUCUUCUUCGUUUUCUCUUCGUGUUCAUCUUCGUCGAUUUCUUCAUCAUGAACUUUUCCCAAAUCAAUCAAAUCACCACCCAAAUCAGACCUCUGUAACCCCACCAAUUUUUUAAUCAAAUCGCAGUUCAACAUUGCUUCUACAGCUUCUUUUCUCCCAAAAUACCCAAUUUCAAGUACAAAAUCCAUAGCAGUUACCUUGAAUGGCAAAUCAUCGGAGUUUAAAUACGAAAUCGACUUUGAAAUUCCACCAACGGAUUCGAGUACAUCGACGAAAGGACUUCGAAUUGCUUUUAUAAGCGAAGAUAAAACUUCUAAUGAACACAGAGAAUCCAUUGAAAUCAAAGCUUUUAUUGUUUGACCCAUUAGAAUUUGCCCAACGAAUACGUCUUUGUUGAAUAGUACAACUUCUUUCAAAGCGUAUCCAGCUUUUUCACGAAUUUUCUCAGGUAUAUUACCG